GACGGAGGAUGCAAGCGUUAUCCGGAAUUAUUGGGCGUAAAGCGUCCGUAGGCGGUUUCAAAAGUCUGUUGUUAAAGCCCACAGCUCAACUGUGGAUCGGCAAUGGAAACUGUGAGACUAGAGAGUGGUAGGGGUAGAGGGAAUUCCUAGUGUAGCGGUGAAAUGCGUAGAUAUUAGGAAGAACACCAGUGGCGAAGGCGAUUUUCUAGAUUAUUCCUGACGCUGAGGCGCGAAAGCAAGGGGAUCAAACAGG
rnacentral:rRNA from 1 species